rnacentral:rRNA from 1 species
GCGUCGUCUUCAGAGUUUGAUCCUGGCUCAGGACGAACGCUGGCGGCGUGCUUAACACAUGCAAGUCGAACGAGAAUUAAAAGUGGAAAUUUUCGGAUGGAAACAUUUAAUGAAAGUGGCGGACGGGUGAGUAACGCGUGAGCAACCUACCUUACACAACGGGAUAGCCGAGGGAAACCUUGAUUAAUACCGUAUGACAUUGCUUUUUUGCAUGAAGAAGCAAUUAAAACUCAGGUGGUGUAAGAUGGGCUCGCGUCUGAUUAGCUAGUUGGUGAGGUAACGGCCCACCAAGGCGACGAUCAGUAGCCGGCUUGAGAGAGUGAACGGCCACACUGGAACUGAGACACGGUCCAG